rnacentral:rRNA from 1 species
GAUGAACGCUGGCGGCGUGCCUAAUACAUGCAAGUCGAGCGAACAGACGAGGAGCUUGCUCCUCUGACGUUAGCGGCGGACGGGUGAGUAACACGUGGAUAACCUACCUAUAAGACUGGGAUAACUUCGGGAAACCGGAGCUAAUACCGGAUAAUAUAUUGAACCGCAUGGUUCAAUAGUGAAAGACGGUUUUGCUGUCACUUAUAGAUGGAUCCGCGCCGCAUUAGCUAGUUGGUAAGGUAACGGCUUACCAAGGCAACGAUGCGUAGCCGACCUGAGAGGGUGAUCGGCCACACUGGAACUGAGACACGGUCCAGACUCCUACGGGAGGCAGCAGUAGGGAAUCUUCCGCAAUGGGCGAAAGCCUGACGGAGCAACGCCGCGUGAGUGAUGAAGGUCUUCGGAUCGUAAAACUCUGUUAUUAGGGAAGAACAAAUGUGUAUGUAACUAUGCACGUCUUGACGGUACCUAAGCAGAAAGCCACGGCUAACUACGU